GACGAACGCUGGCGGCGUGCUUAACACAUGCAAGUCGAACGGUGAAGCGCUUUCCUUUUUGGUUGGUGUGGAUGAGUGGCGAACGGGUGAGUAACACGUGAGUAACCUGCCCCCUUCUUCUGGAUAACCGCAUGAAAGUGUGGCUAAUACGGGAUAUUCUGCGCCUGCUGCAUGGUGGGUGUGGGAAAGAUUGUGCCUUUGGGUGUUUUCGGUGGGGGAUGGGCUCGCGGCCUAUCAGCUUGUUGGUGGGGUGAUGGCCUACCAAGGCGGUGACGGGUAGCCGGCCUGAGAGGGUGGACGGUCACACUGGGACUGAGACACGGCCCAGACUCCUACGGGAGGCAGCAGUGGGGAAUAUUGCACAAUGGGCGCAAGCCUGAUGCAGCGACGCCGCGUGAGGGAUGGAGGCCUUCGGGUUGUGAACCUCUUUCGCCAGUGAAGCAGGCCUGCUCCUUGUGGGUGGGUUGACGGUAGCUGGAUAAGAAGCGCCGGCUAACUGCGUG
rnacentral:rRNA from 1 species